AUUUAUAUAGUAUAAUAAGUAUUUUUGACUUCCAAUCAGAAGGUCUAAUAAUUUUAGUAUAAAUA
rnacentral:tRNA from 1 species